AAAUAACGCAAUAUUUACUAGCUAUGUUCUGUGUUAGAAAGACAGGUUUAUUACGUAUGUGUGCUUCCCAAGCCUCACGCUCUCUUAAUUCCAGGGAACGGUUUCUAAAAGGCGAAGCAGUGAACUCAAGCCAGUACGGGCCUCUGAAAGACGGCCCUGAUGUUACAAUAGUCAGUAGUAAAACUGGAGGGGUACCUGACUCAGCUCCGCUAUCUCGAAGAAAACAAGAACACGUCGAUAAAGAGUGGGCGAUUCAAGAAAAGAUAGAAGAAUAUCUGGACCUAAUGAAUGAAGUUUCACAGAUGAAUCAAAGUGAAGAUAAAGGGAAACCAGCGGAAAGUUUAUCACAAGAAUCUGAGAACAUCCCAUGACAGCGAUAUUUAGUCUGGAUUUAGCCUCGCA